rnacentral:tRNA from 2 species
AGUUAAUGAACUUGUAUAAGUUUAUACUUUGAAAGUAUAAUAAAGAGGUUUAACCCUCUAUUAACUU